CGCUGGCGGCGUGCCUAACACAUGCAAGUCGAGCGGAGCCAUCUUGAAGAUCCCUUCGGGGUGAUUCAGGGGAAGCUUAGCGGCGGACGGGUGAGUAACGCGUGAGUAACCUGCCCAUUAGUGGGGAAUAACACAGAGAAAUUUGUGCUAAUACCGCAUACCGAUUACGGAAGGCAUCUUCUGUAAUUGAAAGAUUUAUCGCUAAUGGAUGGACUCGCGUCUGAUUAGAUAGUAGGCGGGGUAACGGCCCACCUAGUCGACGAUCAGUAGCCGAACUGAGAGGUUGAUCGGCCACAUUGGGACUGAGACACGGCCCAGACUCCUACGGGAGGCAGCAGUGGGGGAUAUUGCGCAAUGGGGGAAACCCUGACGCAGCAACGCCGCGUGCAGGAAGACGGCCUUCGGGUUGUAAACUGUUGUCGCAAGGGAAGAAUAAAGUGACGGUACCUUGUGAGAAAGCCACGGCUAACUACGUGCCAGCAGCCGCGGUAAUACGUAGGUGGCAAGCGUUGUCCGGAUCUACUGGGUGUAAAGGGCGCGUANGCGGGCUUUCAAGUCAGAUGUGAAAUUACGAGGCUUAACCUCGGGGCUGCAUUUGAAACUGUUAAUCUUGAGUAUCGGAGAGGAAAGCGGAAUCCUAGUGUAGCGGUGAAAUGCG
rnacentral:rRNA from 1 species